GCCUAACACAUGCAAGUCGAGCGGUAACAGGAAGUAGCUUGCUACUUUGCUGACGAGCGGCGGACGGGUGAGUAAUGCUUGGGAACUUGCCUUUGGGAGGGGGAUAACCGCUGGAAACGGUGGCUAAUACCGCAUGAUGUUUACGAACCAAAGUGGGGGCUCUUCGGACCUCACGCCCAGAGAUAGGCCCAAGUGAGAUUAGCUAGUUGGUGAGGUAAUGGCUCACCAAGGCGACGAUCUCUAGCUGUUCUGAGAGGAUGAUCAGCCACACUGGGACUGAGACACGGCCCAGACUCCUACGGGAGGCAGCAGUGGGGAAUAUUGGACAAUGGGGGCAACCCUGAUCCAGCCAUGCCGCGUGUGUGAAGAAGGCCUUCGGGUUGUAAAGCACUUUCAGUGGUGAGGAAGGCCUGUUGGUUAAUACCCAACAGGAUUGACGUUAGCCACAGAAGAAGCACCGGCUAACUCCGU
rnacentral:rRNA from 1 species